AUGGCCGCCGUCGCCGCCGCAAGAUCCUUCCUCCGAUCCGGAUCUGCUGCCUCCUCUCUCCGCGGGGCUGCCGCCAGAGCCGCCCCCCGCGCUGGCUCAGCUCCGCUCCCGAGGCGACUCCCGGCCUCUGCUCCCCGCGUCCUCCUAAGGUCACCGGUGGAGAUGACCAGCUUCUGCGUGGAGUCGCUGAUGCCCAUGCACAGUGCCACGGCGUCGGCGCUCAUGACGUCGCUCCUUGCCACCCCGGCUCGCACUGGGUUUGGUUGGCUGACAGAAGGUGACUUUCACAUUUCUAUGUUUUUUUUGUUGUUUUCGCAAUCUUAG
rnacentral:rRNA from 1 species